rnacentral:rRNA from 1 species
CCUACGGAGGCAGCAGUGGGGAAUAUUGGACAAUGGGGGGAACCCUGAUCCAGCCAUGCCGCGUGUGUGAAGAAGGCCCUCGGGUUGUAAAGCACUUUCAGUGAGGAAGAACGCCUGGUGGUUAAUACCCAUCAGGAAAGACAUCACUCACAGAAGAAGCACCGGCUAACUCCGUGCCAGCAGCCGCGGUAAUACGGAGGGUGCGAGCGUUAAUCGGAAUUACUGGGCGUAAAGCGCGCGUAGGUGGCUUGAUAAGCCGGUUGUGAAAGCCCCGGGCUCAACCUGGGAACGGCAUCCGGAACUGUCAAGCUAGAGUGCAGGAGAGGAAGGUAGAAUUCCCGGUGUAGCGGUGAAAUGCGUAGAGAUCGGGAGGAAUACCAGUGGCGAAGGCGGCCUUCUGGACUGACACUGACACUGAGGUGCGAAAGCGUGGGUAGCAAACAGGAUUAGAUACCCCGGUAGUC